rnacentral:rRNA from 1 species
CUACGGGGGGCAGCAGUGGGGAAUAUUGGACAAUGGGGGAAACCCUGAUCCAGCAAUGCCGCGUGUGUGAAGAAGGCCUGCGGGUUGUAAAGCACUUUCGGUUGGGAGGACUGCUUCUAGCACUAAUAUUGUUGGAAGUUGACGUUACCUUCAGAAGAAGCACCGGCUACACUCCGUGCCAGCAGCCGCGGUAAUACGGAGGGUGCAAGCGUUAAUCGGAAUUACUGGGCGUAAAGCGCGCGUAGGCGGCUAGAUCAGUCGGGUGUGAAAGCCCCGGGCUUAACCUGGGAACUGCAUCCGAUACUGUCUAGCUUGAGUACAGGAGAGGAGAGUGGAAUUCCACAUGUAGCGGUGAAAUGCGUAGAUAUGUGGAGGAACACCAAUGGCGAAGGCAGCUCUCUGGCCUGAUACUGACGCUGAGGUGCGAAAGCGUGAGGAGCAAACAGGAUUAGAUACCCCGGUAGUC